CAGCCACACUACGUUGAAGCACCAGAUCCCAAAAGAUCACUGAAGUUAAUCAACGUCGAGCCUGGUUAGUACUUAGAUAGGUUACCGCUUGG